rnacentral:rRNA from 1 species
CACGUAGGGCGCAAGCGUUGUCCGGAAUUAUUGGGCGUAAAGAGCUCGUAGGUGGUUUGUUACGUCUGCUGUGAAAACCUAGGGCUUAACCCUGGGCUUGCAGUGGAUACGGGCAGACUAGAGGUAGGUAGGGGAGAAUGGAAUUCCUGGUGUAGCGGUGAAAUGCGCAGAUAUCAGGAGGAACACCAAUGGCGAAGGCAGCUCGCUGGGACGGUACUGACGCUGAGACGCGAAAGCGUGGGGAGCGAACAGG